GGCAAAGAUAUCUCUAAUGAGACAGAGAGGGGUAUUUAAAAAAAAAAAAAAAUACCCCUCUCUGUCUCAUUAGAGAUAUUUUUGCC
rnacentral:miRNA from 1 species